rnacentral:tRNA from 1 species
CACUACGAAGCUAAACAGGACAUAGCGUUAGCCUUUUAAGCUAAAGACUGGUGACUCCCGACCACCCGUAGUGA